rnacentral:rRNA from 1 species
UACGUAGGGUGCGAGCGUUGUCCGGAAUUAUUGGGCGUAAAGAGCUUGUAGGCGGUUUGUCGCGUCUGCCGUGAAAAUCCGGGGCUCAACCCCGGACUUGCGGUGGGUACGGGCAGACUAGAGUGUGGUAGGGGAGACUGGAAUUCCUGGUGUAGCGGUGAAAUGCGCAGAUAUCAGGAGGAACACCGAUGGCGAAGGCAGGUCUCUGGGCCACUACUGACGCUGAGAAGCGAAAGUGUGGGGAGCGAACAGG